GACGUAGGGCGCGAGCGUUGUCCGGAUUUAUUGGGCGUAAAGAGCUCGUAGGCGGCUUGUCGCGUCGUCCGUGAAAACCUGCGGCUCAACUGCAGGCUGGCGGUCGAUACGGGCAGGCUGGAGUUCGGUAGGGGAGACUGGAAUUCCUGGUGUAGCGGUGAAAUGCGUAGAUAUCAGGAGGAACACCGGUGGUGUAGACGGCUCUCUGGACAGUAACUGACGCUGAGACACGAAAGCGUGGGUAGCAAACAGG
rnacentral:rRNA from 1 species